UGAUAAAAAUUGAGACUUGGACCUAGAACAGAAAGAAAUCAAUUUAUGGACGAGUAUGUCCUUUUCACCUUUGUGGUAUCGAGAGUUUCCAGGUUAGCUUGGGUUGGAGGCCGUCAGAGAUAUUAUCACCCUAUCGAGUUAACGUUAUCGGAGUAAGUAAACUCAAGUGAUUCGAGUCUAUGGCAUGUAUAGGGUUUUAAUGUGAGUAUGUAAUAUUAUGAUUUAGCCAAAGGCAUUGGCUUGUUAUUACGGUAGUAUUAGUCAUGUAAAUUGGCCUAUGUCGGCUAAUGACGUUAUGGGCCCAUAUGAUUAUUCUUAUGCAUGUAUGUUAUUAUCUCUUGUGAUGUGGCUUACAACAUGUAUGCCUAGAGAUUGAAUUGAGAUUCAUUGAUGAGCUAGUAACUAAUGCAGGAUUAAGUGAUUGGUAAAUAGUUAAUAA